CAGCUAGAAGCCACUCUAUGUCUUCUUACACACGCUUCAGUUAUAGAAUGUCAUCUUGCGUAUAACGCAUUAUAUACAACUUUCAGCAACGGAUCUCUUGGCUCUCGCAUCGAUGAAGAACGCAGCGAAAUGCGAUAAGUAAUGUGAAUUGCAGAAUUCAGUGAAUCAUCGAAUCUUUGAACGCACCUUGCGCUCCUUGGUAUUCCGAGGAGCACGCCUGUUUGAGUGUCAUGGACUUCUCAACCUUCCACUUUAUUGUUGGAGGCUUGGACUUGGAGGUCGUGCUGGCUCUCGUAGUCGGCUCCUCUGAAAUGUAUUAGCGUGAACGUUACGGAUCGCUUCAGUGUGAUAAUUAUCUGCGCUGUUGUGUUGAAGUAUAGUCAGCUUGCGCUUCUAAUCGUCCUCACGGACACUAUAUUGACAAUCUGACCUCAAAUCAGGCGGGACUACCCGCUGAACUUAAGCAUAUCAAUAAGCGGAGGAAAAGAAACUAACAAGGAUUCCCCUAGUAACUGCGAGUGAAGCGGGAAAAGCUCAAAUUUAAAAUCUGGCAGUCUUCGAUCGUCCGAGUUGUAAUCUGGAGAAGCGUCUUCCGUGC
rnacentral:rRNA from 1 species